CCUACGGGAGGCAGCAGUAGGGAAUAUUCCACAAUGGGCGAAAGCCUGAUGGAGCGACGCAGCGUGCAGGAAGAAGGUCUUCGGAUUGUAAAACGCUGUUAUAAGGGAAGAAAAUGUGGAAUAGGAAAUGAUCGCAGACAGACGGUAGCUAACCAGAAAGCGAUGGCUAACUACGUGCAAGCAGCCGCGGUAAUACGUAGGUCGCAAGCGUUAUCCGGAUUUAUUGGGCGAAAGGCGUACGCGGGCUGUUUUUUAAGUCUGGGGUAAAAUCCCGGGGCUCAACCCCGGCGCGCUUUGGAAACUAGCAGACGUGAGUGAAAAAGAGGUAAGCGGAAUUCCAUGUGUAGCGGUGAAAUGCGUAGAUAUAUGGAAGAACACCAGAGGCGAAGGCAGCUUUCUGGUUUUCUACUGACGCUGAGGUACGAAAGCGUGGGGAGCAAACAGGAUUAGAUACCCUAGUAGUC
rnacentral:rRNA from 1 species